ACCGCCGCCGCCGAUGGCCCGCGUGAAGGAAGGAGUGAGAUCGAGCUGGCGCACGCGCCACAUCAGAGGAAGAUGGCCUGAUGCGCUCUGAUUUGGGACGCGGUAACUACAUCCUCUCAGUUUCGUCAUUUGGUCUCGAUUCAGCAGAUUGAUGCAUAUUCCCGCUAGCACCGUAGCAGCUGCCUGCAUCGACCGUGGCCCUGUGCAUCAUCAUCUCCAUAUAGUGGAUCCCGAUCUAAAAGUCUGCUAGGCAUGGCGGCAAAACGCCAAUCUGGCCGGAAGGAGUUGCGGUAAGGAUCUGCUUGAAGGAAGGAGUCGAGAUCUGGCUGGCGCAGGGCAAGAGCAGCGAAGCCUCUGGCUGGAUCAGGGGAGAAUGGCAGGAGAGCUGCGUUGGACGUCCACGCCAAGUACAUUCGUAGAAGCAAGGAUUUAUCUGUUGGAGUCACUCGGAAAGUACAUACAGGAAUAUUUGUGUAAUUAUAAGUGCUCUUAGUCCAUCCCAAUCCCUGUUUCUUUUUUGUCCAAUUUUUGGCUAGGAUCCGCACAACGUAAUUUGGAGCUAUCCCUGUGUGUGCUCCAUCCCUAGUUAGAACAUAGGAGAUUCGUAGACCCCAUCCACAGAAUUUUUUAUUCACAAUAGCACCAAAUGACUGAGAUUGUCUGACCUGAAUUUGUCUUUGAAUAUGGCCCCAAAAUUGACAAAAACUGACUCAUUCAUGUUGACCAUUUUUCAUGUAGAAUAAAUUCCCUGAAUGCCAUUGAAAUUUUCUCAAUGCCAUUCAAUGGUAUUACUAGUUUCACCAUAGGUGUACAGCUGGCCAGCAAAGCAGCAUCAAAUAUUAAUCAUAGGCACCCUGAUACAAACAUAUUGAAUCUGACAGUGUAACCCAUAACUUAGGUAAAUGAGGCAAAUGCAAUAUUGUUACUCUUACGAUGAAGAGCCGUGUGAUCAAACAAUUUGAAGCACAUGUUAUUAGAUUUAUUAGAUAUAAAGCUGCAUUUGUGUACGUCGUAAUUUUCUUGUUCUAUAUGUUACAGCAGGUCAACUGAAGAAAUUCUUUCUUGUUUUAUAUGUUACAGCAGGUCAGCUGAAGAAGUUCAUUGAAUUUUACAUUUGCAGUGCUGCCGCUGUGACGUCUGACUGCAGUUCAGUUGAAAGGAGGCACAUUAGCACAUACACUGUCAAUCUUAGUUAUCUUGGAUAGGUGGUGUGCUGGUAAUCCUGCUGAUGCGUGUACAAUCUUCUGAUCCGUGUGCACAUUAACUGAAUUUUAAUGUAAUUGAUAUUUCACUCCAUGCGUCUUGCGUGUUGCUUGUCCUGUUCGGCACAAUGUGACAUUUUUCA